CCUACGGGAGGCAGCAGUGGGGAAUAUUGCACAAUGGGCGAAAGCCUGAUGCAGCAAAGCCGCGUGAGCGAUGAAGGCCUUCGGGUCGUAAAACUCUGUCCUCCAGGAAGAUAAUGACGGUACGUGAGGAGGAAGCCACGGCUAACUACGUGCCAGCAGCCGCGGUCAUACGUAGGGGGCUAGCGUUAUCCGGAAUUACUGGGCGUAAAGGGUGCGUUGGUGGGUUCUUAAGUCAGAGGUGAAAGGCUGCGGCUCAACCGUAGUAAGCCUUUGAAACUGGGGAACUUGAGUGCGUGAGAGGAGAGUGGAAUUCUUGGUGUAGCGGUGAAAUGCGUAGAUAUUAGGAGGAACACCAGUUGCGAAGGCGGCUAUCUGGACUGUAACUGACACUGAGGCACGAAAGCGUGGGGAGCAAACAGGAUUAGAUACCCCAGUAGUC
rnacentral:rRNA from 1 species